GAACUGAGUGAGACACCAGGACAUCAGGAAGUGGUGGGGAAACCCCUUUGUUUCCUGCUGCCAGCCGAGCCCAGGAUAAAAGGACCCUGCUCCGAGCUUCACCAUGCCACUUGAAUCCCAGAGGCCUCGAACAGCCCGGAGAGGCAGUUUAUCGUCAAUCUAAGGAAAAUGUCUCAGCAGCAGCAGCAGCAAUGCAAAGUCCCCUGCCAGCCCCCUCCCAAAGUCCCUGAGCCCUGCCCUCCCAAGCCGUGUCCCCCGGGGGGGCCCAGCCAGCAGAAGUGCCCCCCUGUGAAGUGCCCCCCUGUGAAGUGCCCCCCCAGGCAGCAGGAGUACCUGCCGAAGCAGCAGUGACCCCUCCAGAAGCGCCCUCCGCCACCUGAUCAUGAAGAUACCGCACGCCCUUGCCCCACGCCAACCCCUCUCUGCCUGCACCUGCUGGGAACACAGACAGCUUAGAAGCCGCUGCCUCUCUUUAGACGCAAGAAGAAAGAUAUCAUCACAGUAUAUUGGGUUUUCCUCCCAAAUCAGCGACUCCUCCGUGCUCCUCUCCCAGGAGACUGCAUGGUGUAGACAGACGUGCCAUGUUCCCAAGCUCUUCCCUGGGGGCCAGACCAGUUCUUGCCCUUCUCUGCCACUGCUGUGGUCAGGACGAGGCCCGACUGUCCAGCUGCUGUCUCCUCUACCAUGCUGCCUCCUGCUGGUCAUAUGAGAUCAUUACAAGGGCACAGAUUUCCUUGUUUAGCAGUCGGCCUUCCUGGGAUGCAACAACUUUACGAAGGUUUCAAGGAGUAAACGCAGUUGAAAAAUUAAAACAAAAACAAUACUGGCUAAACGAUAGAAAUUUCUCCAGCGUUCUUCAGAGCACAGCUCCACGCUCCUCAGUGAAGGCAGUGAGGUCUUCUGUUUGUAUUUCUUCCCGAAUACUCUCCACAACUCCCAACCAAGCUCACCCACCCUCUAGACUCUGAGCCCAUUAAAAGUACUCCAAGCCCUUUAAUGUUCCUUCCUCCCUGUUUCUCAAUAAAAAAAAAAUCUUUUCUCCUGA